rnacentral:tRNA from 1 species
AGGGAUAUAGCUCAGUGGCACAGCACCUGACUGGCAAGCAUGAGGCCAUGAGUUCAAUUCCCAAGAUCCCCC